CAGUGACCGCACCUAAAUCUUGCAAAACAUCCCGCUCCGAAUCUGCGAGCACAUGUCUGAUAAUACGGCUUCGCAUAACGACGCAGAAGGAGGGUGUAAAGUGUUUAACAGAUCAACCAUUUAGCGGUUGGGUGGAUUUACUGCCAUAAAUACUGUUUUAAAAAUACAAAUCCCCAUAGAUUUACAGAACAAAGGAUUCUACAAGCGAAAACACGAGCUCUUUUCCUGACCAGACACCCAAUCUCCAGAUUGCUGAAACAUUCUGCAACGUGUUGCAGGUAUUUAAAAGGUAUCGCGAUGUAUGUAUGGGGACUAUUUGAUUAUUAUCACAUGCCAAAUGCCUCAAAAGCGAGUCCUGCGGUAGCAUAUCUCUGAUUUAGCCUAUGCUUAAAGCACACAUUAGUUAGCGACAGUCCAAAUGAUACGCAGGGCUUUGGCAAGAGGACAUUUUUAUAUGCGUUUGAUUUUUUCGUACCGUACUCGCAUCGUCAAACUGAUAUGUCGUAAAUUCAGCGGAGGCUGCGUUUGUCGGGGGCAGAAAAAGUUCUGGUUCAGAGUCUAUGCUCCAGCUGCUGGUGAUGUCACUCUGCACCCUCCUGGCUGUGGCCCCCAGAGUAACUUCAUCACGCGGUCAAGUGGCGCUUUGCUGCAGCGGAGCUGGGGUGACUGCGGGGGGCCUUAAUAAACCCGUCUCAUGGUGUGAUGUCCCCGGAGAAUGGGCUGAGAGCAGUGCGGAGAGUUCCAGCUCUUCAGACAACCUUUUCGUCCAGGUGCAUCCUUAUGAAAACUAGCUGAUACUUAACACCAAGCUCUCUGCUCUCUUUUCUUUGCACUUGUGAUUUACAGGAGCUCUUGAUCUUUUUUUUUUUUUGCAAAGCUGGCCUUGGUCAAAUACAUAUCCAGAGAAUUUAAACUCUCUAACAGCACUUAAGUGCUUAAUUUGUCACUUAUUGGUGAAAUAGUGUGUUCACCUUUUUUCCAUGGCCUAAAUUUCCUGCAGACUGAAAACAAACCACAGAAAUGAGCAGAUUGGAGUUAUACCUGCAGGCACUGCACCCCUACAGAACUGGAAUUAAACCUGCAGACAGUGCCCCCUCCAGGACUGGAGUUAAACCUGCAGACAAUGCACCCUCAAGGACUGGAGAUAAACUUUCAGACACAGUGCCCCCCUCCAGGACUGGAGUCAAACCUGCAGACAUGCAUCCCAGCAGGACUGGAGUUAAACCUGGAGGCACUGCAACCCUCCGGGAAUGGAGUUAAACUUGCAGACAUGGUGGCCCUCCAGGACUGGUGUUUGAGACCCCUGUUUGAACUCCUCAGGUGUCAGGCCUUUGCUGUCAUCUUGCAUUUAUUCAUAAGAAGAGAGACCAACCUGCCCAGCUGUUUUCACUCUGCACUGCACCAGCUGAGCUGCGGUGUAACUUCCUGCAGUUUGUGCAGUCAGACCCCAAACAGACCCCAACGGUUGGCCAGACCUGUUGUCAGUGGCCAAUGAAGCGAGAGGGACAAACCCAUCAUGUCCCUGAUUUAAAUUCUGUU